GACGAAGGCUGAUAAUACCGCAUAAGCGCACGAAUGUCGCAUGACAUGGUGUGAAAAACUCCGGUGGUAUAGGAUGGACCCGCGUCUGAUUAGCCGGUUGGUGGGGUAAAAGCCUACCAAAGCGAAGAUCAGUAGCCGAGUUGAGAGACUGACCGGCCACAUUGGGACUGAGACACGGCCCAGACUCCUACGGGAGGCAGCAGGG
rnacentral:rRNA from 1 species